rnacentral:rRNA from 1 species
ACGAACGCUUGCGGCGUGCUUAACACCUGCAAGUCGCACGGAAAGGCCCUGCUUUUGUGGGGUGCUCGAGUGGCGAACGGGUGAGUAACACGUGAGUAACCUGCCCUUGACUUUGGGAUAACUUCAGGAAACUGGGGCUAAUACCGGAUAGGAGCUCCUGCUGCAUGGUGGGGGUUGGAAAGUUUCGGCGGUUGGGGAUGGACUCGCGGCUUAUCAGCUUGUUGGUGGGGUAGUGGCUUACCAAGGCUUUGACGGGUAGCCGGCCUGAGAGGGUGACCGGCCACAUUGGGACUGAGAUACGGCCCAGAAUCCUACGGGAGGCAGCAGUGGGGAAUAUUGCACAAUGGGCGGAAGCCUGAUGCAGCAACGCCGCGUGCGGGAUGACGGCCUUCGGGUUGUAAACCGCUUUCGCCUGUGACGAAGCGUGAGUGACGGUAAUGGGUAAAGAAGCACCGGCUAACUACGUG